CAAUAGCGUAUAUUAAAGCUGUUGCGGUUAAAAAGCUCGUAGUUGGAUUUCUGUCAAGGACAACUGGUCCGCCCUCCGGGUGAGCACAUAGUUUGGUCUUGACAUCUUGCUGGAAGCUGUUGCUGCACUUGGCUGUGUGGCGCAGUGUUCAGCACUCUCACUUUGAGGAAAUUGGAGUGUUUCAAGCAGGCACAUGCCUUUGGACACAGUAGCAUGGAAUAAUUAGAUUGGGCUUUUGCUCCAAUUUGUCGGUUUCUGGAGCUGAGGUGAGUAUUAAUGGGGAUUGUUGGGGGCAUCCGAAUUUAGCCGUCAGAGGUGAAAUUCUUGGAUCUGCUAAAGACGGACAACUGCGAAAGCGUUUGCCCAGGAUGUUUUCAUUGA
rnacentral:rRNA from 1 species